rnacentral:rRNA from 1 species
GACGAACGCUGGCGGCGUGCCUAAUACAUGCAGGUAGAACGCACAGUUUAUACCGUAGCUUGCUACACCAUAGACUGUGAGUUGCGAACGGGUGAGUAACGCGUAGGUAACCUGCCUGGUAGCGGGGGAUAACUAUCGGAAACGAUAGCUAAUACCGCAUAAUAUUAAUUAUUGCAUGAUAAUUAAUUGAAAGGUGCAAUUGCACCACUACCAGAUGGACCUGCGUUGUAUUAGCUAGUAGGUGAGGUAACGGCUCACCUAGGCGACGAUACAUAGCCGACCUGAGAGGGUGAUCGGCCACACUGGGACUGAGACACGGCCCAGACUCCUACGGGAGGCAGCAGUAGGGAAUCUUCGGCAAUGGACGAAAGUCUGACCGAGCAACGCCGCGUGAGUGAAGAAGGUUUUCGGAUCGUAAAGCUCUGUUGUAAGAGAAGAACGGGUGUGAGAGUGGAAAGUUCACACUGUGACGGUAUCUUACCAGAAAGGGACGGCUAACUACGUG